GAUGAACGCUGGCGGCGUGCCUAAUACAUGCAAGUCGAGCGAACGGACGAGAAGCUUGCUUCUCUGAUGUUAGCGGCGGACGGGUGAGUAACACGUGGAUAACCUACCUAUAAGACUGGGAUAACUUCGGGAAACCGUAGCUAAUACCGGAUAAUAUUUUGAACCGCAUGGUUCAAAAGUGAAAGACGGUCUUGCUGUCACUUAUAGAUGGAUCCGCGCUGCAUUAGCUAGUUGGUAAGGUAACGGCUUACCAAGGCAACGAUGCAUAGCCGACCUGAGAGGGUGAUCGGCCACACUGGAACUGAGACACGGUCCAGACUCGUACGGGAGGCAGCAGUAGGGAAUCUUCCGCAAUGGGCGAAAGCCUGACGGAGCAACGCCGCGUGAGUGAUGAAGGUCUUCGGAUCGUAAAACUCUGUUAUUAGGGAAGAACAUAUGUGUAAGUAACUGUGCACAUCUUGACGGUACCUAAUCAGAAAGCCACGGCUAACUACGUG
rnacentral:rRNA from 1 species